UUUCUGCCUAUAGAAGUCUGGGUCCUUUCCUAUACUGGGGCCUUUGUUUAGCUCCUUGCUAACCUCAGGCCCGUGAAGCUUUGAUGAACUAAAGCUCCCAAUGGCUACAGAGAAGGUCUAAGUGAAUUCUUUCACACCUGAACCAGCUCUCCCAACUCUAAACCUCAACAUAAAAUGGUGCCGAAACCCGGGAGUCCAAAUAUUAAUUGGACUCUGCUGAUCUUCUCCUGGCCACUGGGAUAACAGCCUGCAAGUUCACCUUCCGCCACCUGGCUAUAGGAAGAAGGGAGAGAGGCAGCAGCUACAGCCUGAAAGUAUCUUCCAGUACACAACCGUGGGAAGAGAGUGAAAGGGGAUGGGUCAAGGUAAAGAAGUCAGUCUGUGUCUGUACUUGAUUCUCCCAAGUCUUUAAUGAUAAUUGGAGUAAAGUCAGCCUCUUAAAUUCCACUUUCAACUCUUAGGAUACCAGCCUUGAUGUCCCCAAGUGGUUUGCAGGUCUCCACAAUGGACUCAGCUAACACUGCAUCCCACAUCUUCAUGCUGACCUCCCCUCCUCAACCUACUCGAGGCCCUUGAAAUGGACUCUUCACCCCUGUUCAGCAGGAAGCAGCUACUGAAGACAAUGACCUUUGCCCCUUCCCCCCCCCCCCAAGAUUUCUCCUGCCUAGUGUUUGAGUAGGGAAUGAAGCAGAAGACAUACAGUGCCCUAAAAGCUAAAAGCUUUUUAAAGAAACAAAUUUUAAUUAAGGGUUGUUUUUCCAGCACCUCGUGAGGCCCCUCCGGGACUUGAGGGCAUCCUAGAGUCUCUUUCCCAUAUCUUGAAAUGCCACACAACUUGCACCAAAAGAAUUUCCUUUGCCUCCCUUAUCCUGUGUUCCAUAUUCUGUCAUCUAGCUUCCUCAUCCUGUGUCAUGACAAUUUUUCCUUAUCUUCACAGCCAUUUUCCUAAAAUAUAGCUUUCUGUCUAUGUAAGUCUGGGUCCUUUCCUAUAUUGGGGCCUUUGUUUAGCUCCUUGCUAACCUCAGGCCCGUGAAGCUUUGAUGAAAUAAAGCUUCCAAUGGCUACA